GCCUACGGGGGGCAGCAGUGAGGAAUAUUGGUCAAUGGACGAGAGUCUGAACCAGCCAAGUAGCGUGAAGGAUGACUGCCCUAUGGGUUGUAAACUUCUUUUGUCGGGGAGCAAAAAGGCCUCGUGAGGCCACAAGUGAGAGUACCCGAAGAAAAAGCAUCGGCUAACUCCGUGCCAGCAGCCGCGGUAAUACGGAGGAUGCGAGCGUUAUCCGGAUUUAUUGGGUUUAAAGGGUGCGUAGGCGGACUGGAAAGUCAGCGGUAAAAUCGAGAGGCUCAACCUCUUUCCGCCGUUGAAACUGUCGG
rnacentral:rRNA from 1 species